GAUCUCGAUGGUCACUUCUUCAUCCAGGCUGUUCUCUAGAGAUCGCGGGUUGCCGCCAGCUACAGGAAGGCAACAUGCAGGUCAGCGACGCUGCACAGGCCACAUCCCAGCCCCUAUGACCGCGGCGGAGGAACACUCAGCUUGGAGUUUACAAACCCGUGUUUUUACAAUGGUCCUCGGUGACCGGGGCGGCCUGGCCAGCCCUGCAGGGGCCACUGGUGUAGCCUGUGAGGAAGAAAUCUUCAGCAUGGGCCCCGCUGUGUCCAGAGCAUGCUGGGCACCUUGCUCUCCCUCUUCCCAGCCAUUUUCCCUUAUCUCCACCCCCAACCCUUUUGUUCUCUACCCACGGAGACCACCCCAUCCCCCCAAGCUCUAGGAGUCUGUAUUUAUCUGGGUAAAGCCUUGACCAUUUACAGAUCAUGCACUUAACAAGGCAUGGGGGAAAGCUCUAUCAGGAUAGUGAAAGGACUUGAGAGAGGAAGACUCUACAACCUACACAUAUCAUGUGCUGGGCACUUGCAUGCUCCAGGGACUGUGCUAGACUUGACAUGCACAUUCCUAUUUGCUCCUGGACGCAACCCGAUGACCUAUUGGUUGCCAUGUUUACACAUAAACUAAGGUGAUCUGUGCCAGGAAGGAGGGCUGAAAUGCUACUCAGCCUUGCUAGGCUGCUCAACAGUCCCAGACUGCCCAGAGUCCUGGGUCCCCCACAGCUCCCCGGCUCCCAGUAGCACCGCAUUUCUGAGGCCACAGGUGGUGAUGGAUAAAGCUGCUCUGGACUUCCUGCAUCCUGAGUCUGUGAUGUUGGGAAGGUGGAACCACGGGGCGGGGCUGGGUGGACAGUGCAGAGCCCGGCCUGAGGUCCCGGCUUAUGGAGCAGAGCCCACCAUACAGGUGGCCUGUUUCCUCACUGCUGUGAAAUGUAGAACUCAAAUCUAGAACUUGGGGGGAGUGAACCAGGCCCUCCCAGAUAAGAGUAGGAACAUGGUUAGUCUGGGCUUCAUGACUGUGGGGAGGAGAGCCCUGGCUAGUCAGAGCAGCUCAGGACAGGAGAAGUUGGACAAACAGAAGCAGGGCAGGAAGACACAGAGGCUAUGGAGAGCAGAGAGAUAAAGGGCAAUGGUGGAAGCGGAGGGGGCAUUUGUCCCUCAGUCACAAGGGGGUCGGGGGAACAUGAGUCUGGGAGUGGGUACUGAGUCUGCCAAGAACCCACGUAGUAUAGGAGGGAAAUCAUCAGAUGAAGACAGAGAUUGUGUUUGUGUGUGUGCAUGUGUUUUUAAUUUUUUGUACAGAUGGGGUCACAUUAUGUUGCCCAGGCUGGUCUCAAACUCCUGGGCUCAAGCGAGCCACCCAUCUCAGGUGAUCCACCUGCCUCAGCCUCCCAAAGUGCUGGGAUUACAGGUGUGAGCCACUGCGCCCGCCGAGAGGCUAUGUUUGACGCUUAUCUCGACUCUUGGUUUUCGAGCUGCAGGAACCUCGUUCCAGCCAGACAGCUUCUCUGAGCUUGGGUCAUCUCGUCUACAAGGUGAGAAUGACAGUGGCAGCCCGUUGCUCUAAGCUGCUGGUGGGGCAGGUGAGGUCAUGUGUAUGAUGUACUUUGUGGACCUCAUGGGGUGGAGACAAGAGCAAGGUGUAACUUUUACCAGGCUGCCGAUGACAAGGUACUUGAUCAGCAGUUGACUUCUGUUAAUGGACUUGGGUGGAAGAAGAAAACAAAGUGACAAGGUGGACCGCUAAGAUCUCUUACUUGUUAACUGGGCGAGGAGAUGGAAUUAUGAGAGCAGACAGUGCAUGUUAUGGGCGAAAUUGUGUCCCCCUGAAAAUUUACAUGAUGAAGCCCUAACCCAUAGAGCCUCAGAAUGUGAUUACUUGGAGAUAGGGUCUUUCAAGAAGUAAUUAAGUCAAAAUGAAGUCAGAUGGUGGGGCCAAUCCAAAAUCACUGGUCUUCUAAGAGGAGGAGACUGGAGGCAGACUUCAACAGAGGGAAGGACCCUGUGAGGACACAGCAAGAUGGGAGCCGUCUCCAAGACGAGAAAGGCCUUGGAAGACACCAGCUCUGCUGAAGCCUUGAUUCUGGACUUGUUGCUUCUGGAAUUGUAAGAAAGUAAGUUUCUGUUGUUUAAGUCACCCAGCCUGUGGUACCUUGUUAUGGUAGCCACAGUAGACUAACAUAGACUUUGGCACCAGGAAGUAGGGUGCAGCUAAAACAAAGACCAAAAACUGUCGAAGUGAUUUUAGAACUAGGUCAUGGGGAGAGGCCAGGAGAGUUCUGAAGUGCAUGUUUAAAAAGCCUUGAGGAAGUGGCUGGUAGAAAUACGGACGUUAUAGGAAAUUGGAGAAAAGGAGAUCCUCCAAUUAUAAAGUGGCAAAGAAUUUGGCCAAACCAUAUUCAACUGUUCUGUGGAAACAGAAAUUGUAAGUAAGGAACUCGGAUACUGAGCUGAGGAGGUAUCGAAGCAAAGUGUCAAAGGCAAAGACUAGUUUUUUGCCGCUUAUAGUGAAACGUGAGAUGAGAGAGAUAAACUGAAGAAGGAAUUGUUGUAGCAAAAAGGAACCAUGACUUCAAGAUUUGGAAAAUUCUGUCUAUCCAUACGGCAAAAAAUAAGAAAGCGUGCACUGGAGAGACACCAAGAGUGUGGCUGGCUCAUCAUUUGUUAAAGAGAUUCUGGGUAUGAUUCACGGAUCCAAUCAACCAUCUCAACAGAAGCCAGGAACAGAGAUGAGGUUAUCCAGGAAGGUCUAUGGAGGACACCCUCGUCUGACGGCCUGCAACCCUGUGGACUGCAUGGAGGGCAGGGUUUCUGAGUAUUAUAUACCAGCAGAAACACUGCCAGCUGGAACUGAAAGGAAAAGAGAUGGGAUGAAAUAAAAGAAGGCUAGGACUUCUGGGAUUCUACAAACUGGCCGAUAGAUCUAUCUGGCUAUGAAUAUGUACUAUCCUUCAAGAAAAGGGAAGAAUGACUCCAAAGGUGGCUCAGAGGUUACAGGACUGCCACUGUCAUCAUGGGACCAGAGAGUACAGGCUCAGGAGGUGAAGUCAUUUCCUUCUGAGUUCCAAAGAGCAGGGCCAGUAGCCUGCUGGGCCUGGAGAACAGAGAACUGAGCCAGAGGUUAUUGCUGAGCCUUAAAAUCCCAUGGAAAUGACCUGCUAGAUUUUUUUUUUUUUUUUUUGAGAUGGGGUUUCGCUCUUGCUGCCCAGGCUGGAGUGCAAUGGCAUGAUCUUGGCUCACUGCAACCUCUGCCUCCUGGGUUCAAGCAAUUCUCCUGCCUCAGCCUCCUGAGUAGCUGGGAUUACAGGUGUGUGCCACCACGUCUGGCUAAUUUUUGUAUUUUUAGUAGAGAGAGGGUUUCCCCAUUUUUGCCAGUGCAGUCUCGAACUACUGACCUCAGGUGAUCCGCCUGCCUCGGCCUCCCAAAGUGCUGGGAUUAUAGGCACGAGCCACACCACACCUAGCCCUGACCUGCUAGAUUUAAGACUUGCUUGGGACCCAUUACCCUUUCUUCUCUUGGAUUUCUCUAUUUUGGAAUGAGAAUGGUCUAUGCUAUGCUUUUCUCACAGUUGUAUUUUGGAAGCAAAAAACAUCUGGUUUCACAGUUCAUAGCUGGAGAGGGUUUUGCCUCAGGAUGAAUCAUACUUCAAGUCUAACCCAUACCUGAUUUGAGAUGUUGAUAUUUAGAUGAGAUUUUGGACUUACAGUUGAUGCUGAAACAGGUUGAGAAUUUGGGGGCUGUUGGGAUGAGGUGAAUGGAUUGUGCAUGUGGGAAAGACAUGAAUUUUGAAGGUCCUGAGGGUGAGGUCUUACAGGGGAUGAAUUGUGUUGUCCCAAAAUUUCAUGUUGAAGUCCUAACCCUAAGGACCUCAGAAUGUGACUGUAUUUGAAGAUAGGCUCUUUCAAGAUGUAAUUAAGUGAACAUGACGACAUAUGGGUGGGUGGGCUCCCACAUAUGGUGGGAGGCCGAGGCAGGAAAAUUGCUGGAACACGGGAGGCAGAGGUUGCAGUAAGCCAAGAUCGCGCCACUGUUCUCUAACCUGGGUGACAGAGCUAGACUCCGUCUGAAAAAAAAGAAAAGAGCUAUUGGUCUAACUGCCAGUAUAUGCAUUAAACCAUUUAAUCCUUAGCAAUAACUGUACAAGGCAGCUUUAACUAUUAUUUCUGUUUUCCAAAUAAAAAAUGUAAGGCAGAAAAGUGAAAUUGCCCAAGGUUUCAGGGGAAUUGAGCCAGUGGAGAUGGGACCAGGGCUCGUGGCCACAUAGCUAGCAGGCAGCCAGGCUGCUGCAAGUGCUUGUUGCAGGCGGAGUGGCAAAGGCAUGCAGCGUGCAGGUAACUCCAUGACUAUCGCCUCAGGAAGGAUGCUCUGGCCAGGAAUGAAUGACUUCCUGCGAGCUGAGGGGAUUAAGGGGAACAGCAGGGGAGACUAGGAAGCUGGAUGUGAAAAACCAAAAUGAUAAAGGCAUUAUUAAAAACUGUAAAAUAUUCUUGUAAAGUUAGAAUGGGGAAGCUUUCUCAAGCAAGGCAUAAAACCAAAAAGAUGACGAAUAAGUGUACCUACAGUUAAAAACUGUAAGAAAACAUUUAAGCCAGGCAUGAUGGCACACGCCUGUAGUCUCCCCAGCUAUUUGGGAAGCCAAAGCAGAAAGGCUGCUUGAGCCCAAGACUUCAAGACCAGUCUAGGCAACAUAAAGAGACCCCAUCUUUAAAAAACAAAACAAAACAAAACAAAACAUUUAUAUGCUGCAAGACACAUAAACAAAGUUGAGGGAAAUGGAAGAAACUAUGUAUGAAUACAGCAGAGGCAAGGGAUUCAGACCCAAAACUACAACGACACGUGGGUUCAGGUAAGAAUCAGAGACUUGGAUUUGGUAUUUAGAAGAACCUAUGAAAGAUGGCAGUUUCUAUGAAUCCACAGAAAAAGCAAACCGUGGUUUGGUAAUGUAGAGUAAAAGCCAUGGGUCUGAAGCCUGACAGCCUGAGUUCAAAUCUUUUUUUUUUUUUUUAAGAUGGAGUCUUGCUCCGUGUCCCAGGCUGGAGCGCAGUGGCGUGAUCUUGGCUCACUGCAACCUCUACCUCCUGAGUUCAAGCAAUUCUCUCUGCCUCAGCCUCCCAAGCAGCUGGGAUUAUAGGUGCCCACCACCACGCCUGGUUAAUUUUUAUAUUUUUUAGUGGAGAUGGGGUUUCGCCAUAUUGGCCAGGCUGGUCUUGAACUCCUGACCUCAGCGAUCUGCCUGCCUCAGCCUCUCAAUGUGCUGGGAUUACAGGCGUGAGCCACUGCACCUGGCCGUUUUUUUUUUCUUUUUCUUUUUUUUUUUGGAGACAGACUCUCGCUCUGUUGUCCAGACUGGAGUGCAGUGUCAUGAUUUCUGCAGCCUUGACCUCCCAGGUUCAAGCGAUUCUCCUGCCUGAGCCUCCCCAGUAGCUGAGACUACAGGUGUCUGCCACUGUGCCUGGCUAAUUUUUGUAUUUUUAGUAGAGACAGGUUUCGCCAUGUUGGCCAGGCUGGUCUUGAACUCCUAACCUCAGGCGAUCUGCCCGCCUCGGCCUCCCAAAGUGCUGAGAUUACAGGCAUGAACCACUGCGCCCAGCCUGAGUUCAAAUCUUCACUCCACCACCUACAGCUUGUGAGCACUGGACUCUGGGCAAGUGACUUCAGCUCUCGGGUGCCCCAGCUGCAAUACAGAGACAUCAUGCCACCUAUCUCAGAAGGUGCCAUGAAGAUACAAUGCACAGAAUCAUGUCAUCAUGUAAAUCACUGAAUCCUGGUGCAAUGUUUAGGACAUAAAGAAAACAAGUAUGAGUGCAAAAAUAAAUAAAUAAGGAUAAAUGAAUACUAACUAGGCAAUUCAUAGAACACAAUAAACAAGAAAAGAUAUUCCACCUCAGUGGCGGAUGUAGUAGCAUUAUUUGAUUGGCACAAACUGAACAUCUGGGAGUGUCCUGCG
rnacentral:lncRNA from 1 species